GGGCUGGUAGUUCAGGGGUAGUAAUGCUCGCUUCGCAAGCGAGAGGUCGCGGGUUCAAAUCCCGCCCAGUCCA
rfam:Nitrososphaera viennensis EN76, complete genome.